rnacentral:rRNA from 1 species
AAAGUCCGUAGGUGAACCUGCGGAGGGAUCAUUACACAAAUAUGAAGGCGGGCUGGAACCUCUCGGGGUUACAGCCUUGCUGAAUUAUUCACCCUUGUCUUUUGCGUACUUCUUGUUUCCUUGGUGGGUUCGCCCACCACUAGGACAAACAUAAACCUUUUGUAAUUGCAAUCAGCGUCAGUAACAAAUUAAUAAUUACAACUUUCAACAACGGAUCUCUUGGUUCUGGCAUCGAUGAAGAACGCAGCGAAAUGCGAUAAGUAGUGUGAAUUGCAGAAUUCAGUGAAUCAUCGAAUCUUUGAACGCACAUUGCGCCCUUUGGUAUUCCAAAGGGCAUGCCUGUUCGAGCGUCAUUUGUACCCUCAAGCUUUGCUUGGUGUUGGGCGUCUUGUCUCUAGCUUUGCUGGAGACUCGCCUUAAAGUAAUUGGCAGCCGGCCUACUGGUUUCGGAGCGCAGCACAAGUCGCACUCUCUAUCAGCAAAGGUCUAGCAUCCAUUAAGCCUUUUUUUCAACUUUUGACCUCGGAUCAGGUAGGGAUA